ACGAGUGAGAAUGCAGGCAUGAGUAGCGAAUGAAGAGUGAGAACCUCUUCCGCCGGAUGACCAAGGGUUCCAGGGCCAGGCUAAUCCGCCCUGGGUGAGUCGGGGCCUAAGGCGAGGCCGAGAGGCGUAGUCGAUGGAUAACGGGUUGAUAUUCCCGUACCCGCAAAGAAACGCCCAAGACGAACCUUCAUGUACUAACCACGCAAAGCUUUCUAUGGCUUCGGCCGGCGAGAGUGGAGUCUGGGACCUUGUGGGGUAGUAGUUUAGUGAUGGGGUGACGCAGGAAGGUAGAUGAUCCCAGGCGGUGGUUGUCCUGGGGUAAGCGUGUAGACCGUGUCAUAGGUAAAUCCGUGACACAUAUAGGUUGAGACGUGAUGCCGAGCCGUUUCAGGUGAAGUCAUUGAUCCUAUGCUGCCGAGAAAAGCCUCUAGCGAUGUUUCGAGCGGCCCGUACCCUAAACCGACACAGGUGGUCAGGUAGAGAAUACCGAGGCGACGGGUGAACUGUGGUUAAGGAACUCGGCAAAUUGCCCCCGUAACUUAGGGAGAAGGGGGGCCGGACGCGUGAAGCCCCAUGCGGGUGGAGCGUGGUAUGGCCGCAGAGAGCAGGGGGAAGCGACUGUUUACUAAAAACACAGGUCCAUGCCAAGUCGUAAGACGAUGUAUAUGGACUGACGCCUGCCCGGUGCUGGAACGUUAAGGGGACCUGUUAGCCCGUAAGGGCGAGGCGGAGAACUUAAGCGCCAGUAAACGGCGGUGGUAACUAUAACCAUCCUAAGGUAGCGAAAUUCCUUGUCGGGUAAGUUCCGACCUGCACGAAUGGCGUAACGACUUCCCCACUGUCUCAACCACAGGCCCGGCGAAAUUGCAGUACGAGUAAAGAUGCUCGUUACGCGCGGCAGGACGGAAAGACCCCGGGACCUUUACUAUAGCUUGACAUUGGUAUCCGAAUUUAAUUGUGUAGGAUAGGUGGGAGCCGGUGAAGCUCGGACGCCAGUUCGGGUGGAGGCAAUCUUGAAAUACCACUCUGUUGGGUUUGGGUAUCUAACCUGCGGCCCUGAUCGGGUCGAGGGACAGUGUCUGGUGGGUAGUUUAACUGGGGCGGUUGCCUCCUAAAGGGUAACGGAGGCGCCCAAAGGUUCCCUCAGCCUGGUUGGCAAUCAGGUGUUGAGUGUAAGUGCACAAGGGAGCUUGACUGUGAGACUGACGGGUCGAGCAGGGACGAAAGUCGGGACUAGUGAUCCGGCACUUGCGUGUGGAAGCGGUGUCGCUCAACGGAUAAAAGGUACCCCGGGGAUAACAGGCUGAUCUUCCCCAAGAGUCCAUAUCGACGGGAUGGUUUGGCACCUCGAUGUCGGCUCGUCGCAUCCUGGGGCUGUAGCAGGUCCCAAGGGUUGGGCUGUUCGCCCAUUAAAGCGGUACGCGAGCUGGGUUUAGAACGUCGUGAGACAGUUCGGUCCCUAUCCGCCGUGCGCGUUGGAUACUUGAGAAGGGCUGUCCCUAGUACGAGAGGACCGGGACGGACGAACCUCUGGUGUGCCAGUUGUCCCGCCAGGGGCACGGCUGGUUGGCUACGUUCGGAAGGGAUAACCGCUGAAAGCAUCUAAGCGGGAAGCUCGCUUCGAGAUGAGGUAUCCCACCACCUUGAGUGGGUAAGGCUCCCAAGAGACUAUUGGGUUGAUAGGCCGGAGAUGUAAGCCAGGUAACUGGUUCAGUCGACCGGUACUAAUAGGCCGAGGGCUUAACCAC
rnacentral:rRNA from 1 species